GUGUCAAUUUCAACUGUUAUCCUCCCAAACAGGCACUAUUUAUUUUAUUAUACUGAAUGUCUUAAUUUUAGAGAAUUUUUAUAUAGAAAUGACGUGAAUUCUACGGCGAACCGUACGCGCAUAAUUUACGCGCAUGUAACAAUAUUCGUUGUGUUACCAGCUGCCAAGUGUUUUGCUAAGGCUGAGGGUAAUAGAACGGAUUAUCAACUGCGUCUAAACCAAUCAGAUUUCAGUAUUUAACAUGAAAGUAUAAAAGAUAAUGGUCAACCUGUUGUAAGUUUAUAGCCAUAUCAGCUACUUAAACUAUUUCUGGACAUCUUAAUCAUACAAUUUGUAAAUAUGCCUAUUACUCUGACUAACAUCAGACUUGCAUAUCUACUCUGUGGUAUACUGAGGGUAAUAGCAAUUACAAUUUUAAAGCUUAAGUUAGAAGUUUACUUAUAUCUUUCACAACAAUUUUUUGCAAAAAAUUACAUGGCUUUUCUAAAUGGCAUUUUAUUUCAAACAGCUAGGUAAUAUUUGAAUAAGUUUACACUUUUAACGUAGUUACACGGUUGAAAUGACUACCGGUAUGUGUAUACUUCGGCACGACUGGUGUCAGGGUCUUAGGAGUCAGGUCAAGGUCUGUCAAAAUGAAACUAGAUGAUAGAUCCACUCACAUACUGCUUCAGUAACAAGUGAUGGAGGGAAUCUAAAAUCUGACUGAACGGAUUGACCCAGUCACACACAACUGAGUGACGUUCAGAACAAAUUAACUUUUAUAUCCUGAAGUACAGGGUCUAUGUGCAAUACCAGGAACUGAUUUUGUUAUAUUUAUUUACAGUUUGUUACUGCUUUUUAAGUACUUGUAAUGCAUUAAAUGUGUCCAAAUACAUGCC
rnacentral:sRNA from 1 species